rnacentral:pre_miRNA from 1 species
GUAUGUGGAUGGUGUUCAGCACAAGAGACAGGUAUGUUUGCCUGUGUGUGGAUGGGGUUCAGCAUCAGGGACAGAUGUGGUUACCA